UACGUAGGUGGCGAGCGUUGUCCGGAUUUACUGGGCGUAAAGAGCGCGCAGGCGGUCGUACAAGUCGCGUGUGAAAGCCCCCGGCUCAACUGGGGAGGGUCACGCGAUACUGUUCGACUCGAAGGCAGGAGAGGGUAGUGGAAUUCCCGGUGUAGUGGUGAAAUGCGUAGAUAUCGGGAGGAACACCAGUGGCGAAGGCGACUACCUGGCCUGUUCUUGACGCUGAGGCGCGAAAGCUAGGGGAGCAAACGGG
rnacentral:rRNA from 1 species